CUAAGCAGCAGUAACAUUCGUCCCUUCCAGGACAGUCACAUUAUGUUAGCAAAUAGCUUUUACUUUAAAGAACUGUUACUGAAUAUCUCUCUUUGAGGGAUUUAGAAAUAACAAUAUU